rnacentral:rRNA from 1 species
AGAGUUUGAUCCUGGCUCAGGAUGAACGCUAGCUACAGGCUUAACACAUGCAAGUCGAGGGAAACGAUAUUGGAAGCUUGCUUCCGAUAGGCGUCGACCGGCGCACGGGUGAGUAACGCGUAUCCAACCUGCCCACCACUUGGGGAUAACCUUAGCGAAAGUAAGACUAAUACCCAAUGAUAUCUCUAGAAGACAUCUGAAAGAGAUUAAAGAUUCAUCGGUGAUGGAUGGGGAUGCGUCUGAUUAGCUUGUUGGCGGGGUAACGGCCCACCAAGGCAACGAUCAGUAGGGGUUCUGAGAGGAAGGUCCCCCCACAUUGGAACUGAGACACGGUCCAAACUCCUACGGGAGGCAGCA